UAAGGACUGUUCAUUUUAUAAAGAGGACAACUUUGCAAGGCUAUAAAAAGAAAACGCUUAGGGUGCCUGUUCCAGUUAUCGCACCACCUAAGAAAAACUAUUUCUACAAAAAUAAGAAGAAGACCGACGAAUGUAAACAAUAAGUCAAAUGAUUGAUUUGUUUUAAUACUUUACAGGAAAAAUAUAGAAACGGAGCCAAAACUACUUUUAGUAUUUAUUACGGCGUGUGCCAAUGAUUGGAACCCUGUACCAGUUAUGGACACAUUUGUUAAUUUGGGUUCCACUUCGCACUAUUUACAUGCAUUCCUUAUGGGAGUUGCCAUAACUGGUACACUAUGGCGAAAUAGGGUGCAAGGAGGCCGAAAAGUUAAGGAAAAUGAUUUAUUUCUACCAUAAUUUGAGCAAAUUGUGAAGUUUGAAUAAUUGCAAUCAUCUUUUGUGUUCGUGAUCUGUUGUUCACGAUUUUUUUCUUGUUGAUUUGUAUCUUUAAAGGUUGAAAAUCAACUAUGGCGAAUUUGAGGUACUAUAGCCAUAACUGGUACACUGAGCCUAAUGGUAUAUUAAGAGUAAAAUAUGUUAUGGUGCCUAAUGUUUAUAAAUAAUUUCUCACAAUAUCAAAAUAAUGGCAAAUUUAGCUAGGAAUGUAAAUUAUGUUAUUGUUUUGAUAUUUUAUACAAUUCAUUAUAAAAGGUGCUAAAUUGCAAGUUUUACCAUGAUAGUAAUUUUUGUUAUUGAUGUGUUAUUUAGCAUUAUUCAUGAAUAACAUAUCAAUGACAAGAUUUUAUAUGAUUGUAUAUUUUGCUAUUGAUUAGCCAUUUUAAGUUUUUCAUAAUAACAGAAGAAUGGCAAAACAAGAUAUGAUGGCAAAACCAGUUAUUAUUUUGUCCUUUGUUUGCCAUUAGCCUCUACCCGGGCAUUCCGUUACUCUUUAAAAUCAUUCAAUAAAACUCUCUGAAGUUCGCAACUUGUGAAAUUGGCCUACUAAGUGAAGCGAUGAAUUGAAAAGUGGUCAAGUGUUAAAAAAGUGAAUUUGGAUCGGGAUUCGAACACUAGACCUUUUAGCGAGAGACCCACGCUCAAACUCUCUCGGCUAUCUCAACAAGCAACUGAUUCCUCCUAGCUUUGCCAAAAACUUUCGUCAGUGCGUUCCGUCCCAUUUCUCUGUAUAACCGUGGGUGCCUAGUGUCACUCCCACAGCUACGAUUGUGUCAUGUUUCCUGUGACAAAUUGACCACCCCGACGACGUCAACGUAUCCGCGCGCGCUCGUCGCCAUCGCCAGGUGACGAUUGACAAGUUCGGAGUUGACAAAGAAUUUUCAACGAAAUUCUGGCACCGGGCCCAAUCCCAAUACCCCCGAAAUGAGCCGAGAGAAGUGUUACGCCACAGCCAGCGUAGGUACGGCUUCGCAUCCGGCCUCCGGGCCCGGGGAGAGUGACAACUGAUUGAUCAUUAUUAAUCGAACCGGUGACAUUUUUUCCGAAGGGUUCCGGCGGCAAUUGUCGUGGUGGUGCGCGUUGGAGUGUUUCCUAAUAAACAACAAUCGCAGCAGCAGUCUUUUCUUUUUACACGCGCCGUUUUCUCUGGCGUCGUCGUCACCAUGGCAAUAACAGCUCGCUCGAAGACCAGGCAUUAUGAUAAAUGGAUUUUGGUCGAUAUAUCGUCACCUCCAUGCCUGGCCGCCUUCUUCGCCAUCAUCGAUUCUCACUCCUCUGAGGCGGAGUACUACGACUACGUCGCGUCGUCGUCAUGGCCAACUCGGCAAACGAGCUGAGCAGGGUAAAGCGUUUAUUAACAGUUCAUUAUUGUUAAUUAUAAUCUCUGGACGGACGGUUGGUUGUGCUGGAGAGUGAACGGUUCUGGUUUAGUGAGGAAAAUCGGGGUAAAAGGUCUUAUUGUACAAUAAAACCUCUUUUAAUUAGUAUAAUGUACUUUUGACGAUUAAUGUUUUUUAAUGCUUAGAAAGUGUAUAUAAAUUUGAAUAGGGCAUAGAAAAAGGGAAUUUGGUGCAUAAAUUAUGGUUUGAGUGAGGGAACUUAGUCCGCCAGAACAGGUUUUGAGAUGGAACCAAAGAGUUAUUCAGGAGUUUCAGAAUCGUCUCUGAAGCACCAAUAAAACUCCUUGAAAACGCCUCGAAACUCUCUUUUACCCCUGAAACGCCUCUGAAGUCAUCUAGCCCCUCUGAAAUACCCCCGAAACAUCUCUGGAGCCCUUCUAACCCCCAGAUAAUAGCCUAAAAUGAAUCUGAAUCCCAACGAAAACCCCUGAGACCCCUUGAAAAACCCCUGAAACAAUCCCGGAACCCCCCAGAAACCCUUUGGUGCCCCUAAAACACUCCCAAAUCGUUCUGAAAUCUCUCUGGAAUCUCCAUGGAAGCCUCUUGAACUCUUUUAAGGGGCAUCCAUGAAUUACGUCACGCUCAAAGGGAGGAGGAAGGUUUCGGAAUGUGUGACCUGUAGUGCAUUAGGUACAUAUACUAAAAACCCGCACGAAAGGGGGAAGGGGGUUGAAAAUUCCCAAAUUUUGCCGUACUAAAUGGAUGCCCCCUAAAUCCUCUUCUUCUUCUGAAGUCCUUGAAAUCCAUAGAACCUCUUGAACCCCCUGGAACUCCUUUGAGGCCUUUUGAAACGUACCCUCCAGACCCAUGAAAACCUUUGAAACCUCUUCGAAUCUCUCUGAAACACCCUCGGAGCCCAACUGACCCCCAUAUAACCGCUUUUUUUUCCAGUUGGGGAAAUUAAGCCACUGCAUUCAAUAACCACUUUAAACGCACCUGAAACCCGACAAACGCCUCUGAGACUCCUUGAAACACCCCUGAAACAAUCCUAGAAAUUCUCUGAAAGCAUUGGGUGUCCUUAAAAUACCUCAGAAACCCUUCUGAAAUCUCCCUGGAACCUCCAUGGAAGCAUCUAGAGCUCUUUUGAAGCAUCUUCUUCCUCUGGAGUUCUUGAAUUCCAUUUUAAGCUCCCCUUGAACCCCUCCCCGAGCAAAGUCGGAUAGCAAAUUGAAAACUAAUUAUGAUGUUGUGAUAUUGCAAAUUUUGAUAACUCAACGACAACAACCGGCCAUUAGGCCGGAUGGGUCGGGUCGUUAGGCCGAACUGGUUACUAGGCCAAAUGAGUUGUAAGGUUAAACGGUUUGCUUAGGCAACUGGAUGGUAAGAAACUGUUUAAUGUUUGAGGGAAACGGUCUUCGACCUUGAAAUUUUGGUUGGCUUUGAAUGGUUAGUUGACCAAACACACUAAAAGUUUUUUGCGCUUUAAAGUCUAAAUUAUAGUUAUACCGGAAACAAAUUUAGAGUUCCAGUAUGAACAUGAUUAACAAUAUUAAGUGCAACUGAAUCGAGUUCUCUAAAACUUAGAAAGAACAGCCUAUGUUUAAAAGAAGGAAAAAUCUUCGAUGAAAAAGUUGUUAGCCGUUAUGCUUAUAGUGAGUAUAAAAGUAAUAUUACGAAAAGCACCCUAUGUUCAGAAGAAGGAAAAACUCUGUUGAGGGCAGUAAUCCUCAUAAUGAGUAAAACAUUUGAACUAGAAAGAUCAACAGUAGACUACUGCCGUGAAACAGAAAAGUUAAACUAGAAAGAGUUUAGAAGAAUUAAAAUUUCAGAUGAAAAAGUUGAUUGCUAUAAUACGAAUAUGAGUAAAACAGCCUAUGUUCCGAAGAAGAAGGAACACUGAUGAAAAAGUUAACGGCUGUAAUCUUUGUAAUGAAAAAAGAACAGCCUAUUUUCAAAAGAAGGAAAAAUUUCUGAUGAAGAAUUUAAUAGCUGUUAUGUUUAUAGCGAGUAUAACAGGCUAGAAGAAAAGCCUAUGUACAGAAGAAGAAAGUACUCUUAUGAAAAAGUUUAUGGCUGAAUUACUUAUAAUGAGUAGAAUAGCUAAAUGAGAAAGAACAGCCUAUUUUCAAAAGAAGGGAAAAUCUCCGAUGAAAUAUUCAAUUACUGUUAUUCUCAUAGUGAGUAGAACAUUAAAACUCAAAGAACAGCCUAUGUUUAAGGACAAGGUAUUUGGAGUACAUUGCUCAAAAUUUCUAGAGCACCGAUUUUUAGAACCGUUGAACGGAUUUGGAUUAAAAUGCAUCACGCUGUUGACAACCACUGAACAAUUAGCGUGAUGCAUUUUCAUCCAAAUCCGUUCAACGGUUCUAAAAAACGGUGCUCUAGAAAUUUUGGGCAAUGUACUCCAAAUACCUUGUCCUUAAAUGAAGUACUAAUCCCCGAUGAUAAAUUUAAUAGCUGAAAUGCUAUAUUUAUUCUUCACCACUUAUCCUUACAGCUUUUUUGUCCACUAGGGCACUACGUAAGCGCUUCCAAUUGACAGCUGAACUUACACUUUGUACAGCGCCUAAAUGUAUUCUAUUUUACUAUAUUGAACUGGUUGCUUUUGCGCUGUUUUCUUUUUUUGUAUCCUGCUCAUGCUCGAAUGAUAAGCACGAUGAUGUUGAUGCUUUUAGGUUAGGUAUAAUAGCCUUUUUAAUUUGUAUAACAUUCAUUUGCAAGUAGUAUAAUAAUGUUGACAAUGUUACUGUAUUGAAUAUCUUUAUUCUGUCGAUAGCUUUGGUUGUGCCCGUUCACCAUAACACUUUGUUUCUAACUAAAAAAAUCUUAUUCGAGAUGCUGUAUUAUGAUUCUUUUCUACUAAGCCUCCCCAAUUGAUGUCUCCCACAGUUCCACAAGAAUGUCGACUUUUCUCAUGUUUAUUUUGUUUUGUACAAUGUAAAACGAUAAAAGUCAGUAGACACAUAUAAUGACAACCCAUUCGGCCUAACGACUCUUUCGGCCUAACGACUCUUUCGGCCUAACGACCCUUUCGGCCUAACGACCCUUUCGGCCUAACGGCAUUCGGCCUAAUGGCCUUCGGCCUAACGGCAGUCGGCCUAACGGCUUUCGGAACGGCCUGCUCCCGUUGUCGUUUUGGUCGUUUUAACAAUUAAAACAUCAAAAAUGAGAGCAGAAAAAUGUUCCUGUGACAGCAAAUUGAAAAUCAUUCCUGCUAUCGAUGAUAACCUAUUGAUAACUGUUUUUGUUAUCAGCGCAAAAAAAAAAUCAAAACCGUUAAAUGUAGAGUUUUUCGGUUGAUAUCAAAUCCUAAAUGCAAUAAUACAUUUGUGCUAAUGAUAUAUCACUAGAAUUACUUUAUAUAGUUUACUAAAGAGUUUAAAAACUAUUGUAACACUAAAUAUAUAUUUACAUUAAUUGAAAAUGACAGCAAACCGAAAGCAAAAUUUGAAAUCAAAUUAAGUAAAGAUAAAAUGAUAUCCAAAUGUGAUAUGAAUUUGUUACUGAAUACAAAUCAUGUUUUCGAUUUGCUGUAAUUUUGUUGUUGGACUUUGCUCGGGUCGUGUCCUCUGGAACUCCUCUGAGGGCUUUUAAAAUGUCCCUCCCUGACCCACGAAAACCCCCAAGACCUCUUGAAAUUCUCUGAAACACACCUAAAGCCCUUAUGACCCCCAAAUAACCGUAUACAACAAACCUGAAACUCGACGAAAGCCUCUGAGACCCCUUGAAACAUCACUGAAACAACUCUAAAAAAAACUCUUUGGGAAAGCCCCUUAAACACUCCUGAGAUUCCUCAGAAACCCUUCUGAAGUCUCCCUGGAACCUCCACUUUAAGCUCCCAUUGAAACCAUUGAGCCUCCUGGAACUUUUCUGAGGUUUUCUUCGAAACCCUCACCAAUUUUUCCGGAACCCAUUCAAUGGUGUCAUGGAACUCUCUGUUGAUCCCUCCAAAGGCCACCUACUUUGCCCUUUUGACCUUUUCUUUUAUAUGAUCUCCCUUUGCUUUCGCCUUAAUACAUACCGUUUAAGACAAUCAAUUAAAAAAUAAAAAAAUGAAACCAAAAAAACCCUUCAAAUUGUUCAGAGGAACUUAUGCAAACACCCCAGACUUUCUAAAGAUAUACACUAUCUAUUUCUAGACUUAUAUCCCAUGAAUUUUCGGAAGGAAACUGAACCAUUACUGGAUGAUUUCUGGUUACGUCAGCCUUGAAGAAUAAGUGCAGGUGAAAUUCACGGUCUUCUGGUUGAAUUCCAGGACAAAAUUUAGGUCGAUUUUGCAGAAGUUCGAUCAUUUCUUUGUAAAUAUUUGGCAAAACAAUUUUAAGAUUUAUAGCUUUUCUUUUAUUUUAUGUUUUCACAUUUUUUUUCUGAAGGAAAUCAUAGCGCUUCUUUGCUGCAUUCCUGACUGUCAUUUUUCGCGUUCCUGGAGUAUUUGCUGGCGAAAAAUUUUAUUAUUAUGAAAAUUUCUCAUAAAUUUCAGAAAAUUGCAAAAACUUUGGAUAAUCUUCCAAAAUUUUGAUUUUCUUAAUAAACUUGAAUUUAUCGCAUGAUACGCCAAACGCCCCCAAAGAAACCAACACUUCUCAAGUAGCAAUUUGAAGCCCAAUAGGUUUGAAGUGGGGUCUGGGAAACCUAAAUGAUCCCAAUUUUCGUUUUAUGCAGGAUUUAAGGGGAAUUCCUGGCUUAAAAAUGUACCGACCCAAGUAACACACAUGGUUACAAAACAGUCACGGCAGUGCAUGUAAGGGUUGCGCAGUAAGUCACAGUGACAUCUAUCAAACCCUUACAUGCGCUGCCGUGACUGGUUCGUGACCAUGUGUGUUGCUUGGGAACAUCCGCGAAAGUUUCUCUAGGAAGCUUUCGGAUAUUUCUUCAGAAAUUUUUAAAGUAAUUUUAACAAAUAUCUCGAAGCACAUUUGGAAAUAGUUCUUCUGAGAAGUAUGGCUACAUUUAUGGAGCAGUUUCUCAGAAAAUCAAACAGAAUGGUUCUUUGCGGUUGUUCUGAAGCAAUAACUGUGUUCCUAACUAUAAUAUAUGCAGGUAAAAUUUCUGAAUUUUUUCCUAAGAUAAAAAAAACGAAGGAACUGUUAAAGAGUGUAUCAAAUUGUGUUUUAAAUAAAUUUCACAAAACCAUUACUUUUUUCUCGUGGUUGCUGAAUUCCAAUUUGGUUCAGUCGACAAUCCCGUAAAAUAAUUCUUAAGUCCUCUAAUUUUUUUUUCAAUUGAGAGAGAGAGCGAGAGAUUUUUCAUUGAAGGCUCAUUUCCACCAGUACUUUUUGGAUUAUUCCACCAACUUGUAUGACAACUUCACCUCAAUUCGCUUCUUUUUCAUACAUUUAAAAGUAAAUUGACAGUCAUAGACAUCAUAUAUUAAAAUAUUGUAAAAUUAAAAAAAAAAA